UACGUAGGCAGCAAGCGUUGUUCGGAAUUACUGGGCGUAAAGAGCGUGUAGGCGGCUUGGUAAGUCCGCUGUGAAAGUCCAGGGCUCAACCCUGGAAUGCCGGUGGAAACUGUCAAGCUUGAGUCCGGAAGAGGCGAGUGGAAUUCCUGGUGUAGCGGUGAAAUGCGCAGAUAUCAGGAGGAACACCAAUGGCGAAGGCAGCUCGCUGGGACGGUACUGACGCUGAGACGCGAAAGCGUGGGGAGCAAACAGG
rnacentral:rRNA from 1 species